GGAGCUUGCUUUAUAUAACUUAGCAGCGAACGGGUGAGUAACACGUAGAUAAUCUAUCCUAUACUGGGGGAUAGCCCGAUGAAAGUUGGAUUAAUACCGCAUAUAGCUAUAUAGUUGCAUGAUUAUGUAGUGAAAGAUUUAUUGGUAUAGGAGGAGUCUGCGGCACAUUAGCUAGUAGGUGAGGUAAAGGCUUACCUAGGCGACGAUGUGUAGCCGGUCUGAGAGGAUGAACGGCCACACUGGAACUGAGACACGGUCCAUACUCCUACGGGAGGCAGCAGUGGGGAAUAUUGCACAAUGGGGGAAACCCUGAUGCAGCAACGCCGCGUGAGUGAAGAAGGUUUUCGGAUUGUAAAGCUCUGUUAGCAGGGAAGAGGAAGGACGGUACCUGCAGAGGAAGCCACGGCUAACUACGUGCCAGCAGCCGCGGUAAUACGUAGGUGGCAAGCGUUGUUCGGAAUAACUGGGCGUAAAGGAUGCGUAGGCGGUUAAACAAGUUAUAUGUUAAAUAUAUAGGCUUAACCUGCAGAAAGCAUAUAAAACUGUUUAACUAGAGUGCAGGAGAGGUAAGUGGAAUUCCUAGUGUAGCGGUGAAAUGCGUAGAGAUUAGGAAGAACACCAGUGGCGAAGGCGACUUACUGGACUGUAACUGACGCUGAGGCAUGAGAGCAUGGGGAGCAAACAGGAUUAGAUACCCUGGUAGUCCAUGCUGUAAACGAUGGGUACUAGGUGUG
rnacentral:rRNA from 1 species